GUCGUUUGGGCGUUUGUAAUAAACACGAAUGCAUGCACUGAUGCACGAAACUUCGCAUGGCAGUGAUUGAUCAAAUGUCAGCAGACGUAAGACAAACGGAUCAAGAGAUUAGACCCCAGGAUAAAGCUACAUGGACCAUUUAGUGGGGGAAAUAUUGAAGGAGUUCCUUAAAUCCUGCAAAAUGUCAGAUUUGCUGUGUGAGACUUUGGUUCCUUAAAUCCUGCAAAAUGUCAGAUUUGCUAUGUGAGACUUUGAUUUACAUUGUCCAACAAAACAAAUAAUGGCUCCAAUCAGCAGAAUGAGGAGACUUGCUAAAGGGAACCACGUGGAUCUCCUCAUCGUCACUGAAAUUAGAUUGUGAAAAUUAUAGCAUGUAUAAAUAAAUGCAUCAUGACUAGUUAGUUCUGAA